UUGAUUCAUUUUUGCUUGCCUUGCGGCUCGCUCACAGAGAUGCUGAUGGAUACAGAGGUUUGGGGGUUCCCCGACGACCGCCUGAGCCCGGGCCGCGGCGGCACUGUGGCCGUCCGGGCACCGGGGCGGAAUCCGCCGAAGCAACGGGUAUGUUCACAAUGGGGUUUGGGAGUUUGUAAACUCGGUAAUGAUCCCUCCGCUGGUUCACCAACGGAGA
rnacentral:misc_RNA from 1 species